AGUGAUACAGCUCUCUUUUUUUCUUUUCGGAUUUGCCCUCAAAACAGAUAAACAUGGGGUUUUAUACUGUUCUGGUUCUGCUAUGGCGCCCGCUUCGAUCUUUUUUCUUUAAUUCGUUUUGGGUCUUGAUCGGUUUCGUCAGAGAAGUUCGGUGAGAAAAAGAGACAGAAGGGCUGAACCUGCUGGGUGGAUAGUAAGGUAAUCGAUUUUGACUGUUGGUUUGAAAUCAGUCAAUUUCCCAUUUUUUUGAUGAUGGGUUUUGUUGUCACCCCGACAGAGAGAAGGCGAGAGUAAAAAAGAAAGAGUGAGAAGAGAACAGGGAGAGAAGAAGGAGGAGGAGGAGACGGGAAGCUCUCUGGGUUUUCUUUGAUCGGUUGGUAUUUGUGGGAAUCUGAUGUGGUUUCUGUCUGAAUUUUUCUGAUUGAAAUUCUUUCUGGGAUUUCUUAUGUGUAGUUAAUUCAGGCUCCCGUUGCUUCUUCUUGAUGGCCCCGUAUUUGCAUGUUUACAGUUAUGUUGUACAUUGCAAACAAAUGAAGCAAUUGCUUGAUAACUGGACGAUAAGUGAAUAUGAAAUUAUAAAAUGCAAGCGCAUAUCUAUAAACCCAAAUUGGGUGCUGAUAUGGGCCAUAGAAACUAAACUCAACUCAGGAAACUGAAUGGACCUUUUUGAGGUUUCUGUUUGAUUAUCCAUAAGCGAGAGAGUCAUAGGAAGAGUAGUGCAAAUUGGGUUUUAAAGUGUGUAGAUUUGGAUUUUUGAAGACUGGAAAGAUCAGGUCAAGAAAGUUAUGUGCAAGGAAUUGGAGAGAUAUUUUGUCUGAUAUACGGUUUGUGUCCCUGAUAAUUGAUUGUGAUCAUGGGUCAAUAUGAUUCGAAUUUGUAGCCUUGGCAUUUCUUAAGACUAGCUCGAAAGUUGGUUAUUGAAGUUUGAUUGUGAUGCAUGGAUUUGCAUUAUGCUAGAGUUGUUCUUGAAUUUUUGUCAUCAACUUCUGUUAAGCCAUCACUGGUACAUCACUGGAUUACAUUCAGCCUGGAUUGACCGAUGUUGUGAUUUGGUGUUGAUAAAAUCAGUGGAAGGCUUUGACAUCAAUGAAAGAAAGGUGAUGGUGUGACAGAGUAAAAUCCUGAUCCUUCAAUGUAUCUGACAUCUGUUAAGUGUGGAUGCAGGUACUGUGCACUGGUAACGGGAUUGACGGACGGAGCAGGGUGCACGGAGACAGCUUCGGUGAAUAGUAGUAACUGAAUUCAGGUUCCGUGUCUAGUCUUGAACUCUAUCUCUUGAGAGUCGUUAAUUUGGAACUUGUUAUUCCUUAUUUCGUCUUGUGUCGGAGUGUACCAACUCUUAUUUACCCUAGUGGUGAUCUAGAAGCGCUUUAGACGAAUAAGUUCGAUAAGUGAUUCUAAAAAGUUUUCACCUCAAAAAGUAUUUCGACGUUUUCGCUACGCGAUUUACGAAAAACCAUUUAACUAAAAUGCCUUGCGGGUUUUUAGGAUGUAAACUAAACAUUCAGUUUAUGUCUUAGAGACACGCGGCACUGUGACGUGCUCAAGCUGAUGAGGUGCAGUUUGGG